rnacentral:misc_RNA from 1 species
GUCCCGGUGCGGUUGUUGUGUGCGAACUAAGUAUGGCGUAUUUCUGAGCGAACGAAUUAAAUGCUGUGUUCCAAAUUUUGCGCAAAACAAUUUUAAGAUUUUAAUGUUUCGUAGUAAAGCGGUUAAAGUGUUGAAGAAACAAAAUUGAAGCAUGAAAUUGUGGUUUAAUAAAAAUACAUACACAUCUACAUAGUUUCAUUCGCGAAACAUUGGGCAGCAGCCGAAGUUCAGCGUUGUUUUAGGGGCCGCAACACGUCUCGAGCUAUAUAAAGGCAUACGCGAAAACACACAAACGCAGAAUGAACGAGUGAUUGUUGCACAAUAGUGAAGCAUAAACGUACAGCUAAGCGGCAAAUAAAUCUCGAGCCACACUAUGCCACUCAUCGUCCGAAGCAUCACAAUUCUGCUGCCAUCGUUGAAAGCACGCAAAUUAAUCGUGCUCGAAGAAAAUAAGCACAAACAAAUACAAAAGUAAAAAUUAAAAAAAUAAAACAAUUGUGAAAAAUAUAAACGAAAAGAAAGUAACGAAGCGAAAUAAAAAGGCAAAAAAUUCGUAGCAAACAAACUGUAGUGUAAAGGUUCAAUUUCCCGCACGCGCUCGUCGUCUCGUGCAACACUGCCGCAAACCUGUCCGUCAAAAUGCAAGUUCAAGUUCAGCGUUCUUGAGCUACUUAAGCUACCUUGCUUGCCAAGUGCCACCUCGUGCGCUUCAUUCGUCGGCGCUGGUCGAGCGGUGGUUUGGUCGAAUGAUUGCUGAUUUUUUGUUGUGGUCACGGCAGUAUGAAAUCGAAAUCGAAAUUGAAAAUGGCUAACACAAAUCAAAGGAACAGAAGGAGCAUAAGUACCAACGCUUGCAGCGGUGGCAGCAAUGCAUUUCUGUUGCCGGUGAAAACAGCUGUCGUGUUGUAAACAAGUCACGCAACAGUGGCAGCACGUCGUCGUUGUUGCACAGUGUUGCCCGAUAGCAACGCCGGAAUUGUUGUGACGGCUUCGAAGCACAGCCAGGAUUAUUAUUUACUUCACAUCGCUGUUUUGUUAAUAUUGUAGCUGUCAAUUGGCGUUGUGGUUGAAGAUUAAGGAUGGAGCUAAAUCAACGUCGACGACUAUGCUGUUGUAUUCACUCCCUGCCGUUCUGGCAUGCCAUCAAGGCUAUGAUACCCGACGUACAAUUUGAAUCCGAAAGAAUUCACCGCUACCGCUUAAGUUGCUAGGAAGGGUCCCACAAGCCAUCAGACAGCUGCCGCUGGUUUGGAAGAUCCCACCAUACGAUUGCCGCCUGAUUGCCGUCACAAUUAUGCUUCCGCCGGCUAUAGCCGAAGACGACCAAUGCUCGGAACAACAUCUACGGGCGCAUACGAGAGCUUUCCAGUAGUGUCGCAUUAACUAUCGAGAAACUACAAGAGUUGAGGACAUGAACACAUAGAAUUUAAAACACUAAAUUUGUUUUCAUUGUGCAUAAUUAUUUAUUUAAUAUUUUUAUUAGUGAGUUUAUGAGGUUUUAUAAGUGAGUUCAUUGGAAUUGAAAGUGGUAUACCAGUAGUUAUCAAUAACGCCACUGAAGCAUAUUUAUUUAACAACAUGUAACGGCAUUUUGUAUUUUUUAUUGAAUUAAUAAAUUUUGUAAUCAUUGUAAUCAUAGUCGCACGUCUUUAAUUUUGACGCAUUCACAAGUCUCUUCAUAUGCCAGGGCGUAUGAGUGACAAACACGUCUAAUACCAACAUCAACAAGUACAUAUUUUGUCCGUGUUUCAUUUGGAAGAAAUAUCAGCUUUGGAUAUAUUUAGGAAUCCCAAAGUAGCAUUCAAACUAGGCGGUUAUUG